UGCAGCCGAGCGGUAGAGAUCUUUCGGGAUCUUGAGAGCGGCGUACGGGUGCGGAACACGUGUGCAACCUGCCUUUAUCAGGGGGAUAGCCUUUCGAAAGGAAGAUUAAUACCCCAUAAUAUAUUGAGUGGCAUCACUUAAUAUUGAAAACUCCGGUGGAUAGAGAUGGGCACGCGCAAGAUUAGAUAGUUGGUGAGGUAACGGCUCACCAAGUCUGCGAUCUUUAGGGGGCCUGAGAGGGUGAUCCCCCACACUGGUACUGAGACACGGACCAGACUCCUACGGGAGGCAGCAGUGAGGAAUAUUGGACAAUGGGUGCGAGCCUGAUCCAGCCAUCCCGCGUGAAGGACGACGGCCCUAUGGGUUGUAAACUUCUUUUGUAUAGGGAUAAACCUACUCUCGUGAGAGUAGCUGAAGGUACUAUACGAAUAAGCACCGGCUAACUCCGUGCCAGCAGCCGCGGUAAUACGGAGGGUGCAAGCGUUAUCCGGAUUUAUUGGGUUUAAAGGGUCCGUAGGCGGAUCUGUAAGUCAGUGGUGAAAUCUCACAGCUUAACUGUGAAACUGCCAUUGAUACUGCAGGUCUUGAGUGUUGUUGAAGUAGCUGGAAUAAGUAGUGUAGCGGUGAAAUGCAUAGAUAUUACUUAGAACACCAAUUGCGAAGGCAGGUUACUAAGCAACAACUGACGCUGAUGGACGAAAGCGUGGGGAGCGAACAGGAUUAGAUACCCUGGUAGUCCACGCCGUAAACGAUGCUAACUCGUUUUUGGGUUUUCGGAUUCAGAGACUAAGCGAAAGUGAUAAGUUAGCCACCUGGGGAGUACGAACGCAAGUUUGAAACUCAAAGGAAUUGACGGGGGCCCGCACAAGCGGUGGAUUAUGUGGUUUAAUUCGAUGAUACGCGAGGAACCUUACCAAGGCUUAAAUGGGAAAUGACAGGCUUAGAAAUAGGCUUUUCUUCGGACAUUUUUCAAGGUGCUGCAUGGUUGUCGUCAGCUCGUGCCGUGAGGUGUUAGGUUAAGUCCUGCAACGAGCGCAACCCCUGUCACUAGUUGCCAUCAUUAAGUUGGGGACUCUAGUGAGACUGCCUACGCAAGUAGAGAGGAAGGUGGGGAUGACGUCAAAUCAUCACGGCCCUUACGCCUUGGGCCACACACGUAAUACAAUGGCCGGUACAGAGGGCAGCUACACUGCGAAGUGAUGCAAAUCUCGAAAGCCGGUCUCAGUUCGGAUUGGAGUCUGCAACUCGACUCUAUGAAGCUGGAAUCGCUAGUAAUCGCGCAUCAGCCAUGGCGCGGUGAAUACGUUCCCGGGCCUUGUACACACCGCCCGUCAAGCCAUGGAAGUCUGGGGUACCUGAAGUCGGUGACCGUAACAGGAG
rnacentral:rRNA from 1 species